CCUCAGUAGGCACAGAAGGACCACAGCCUAGCAAUCCAGGCAUGUCAGAAAGCUUGUCCUUGUACUGCAUAUGUCUGUCUGCAUUAGUGACGAAGGUUAUUUCCAGGUCACAAGGUCCAAUCAAACAGCUCCGAAAAGGACUGAAAGAAAGUCAUGUUUUGGAUCACGUGACUAAAAGACAGACACCCUGGCGUUGGUGUUGCCAAGAAGCUGUGCUGUGGUGUACUCACCAAAGCUACUUCUGGAACGUACCACUUGGCCAGCGGAGUGUGACAGCGAUGAUGACAUGGAUGACACAAGUCUGGAGGAAAAGUGUCGUAUCUCUGGAUUUCUAAGAGAAUACGUUUUCAAACACCUUUUCAUUUGUGAUAACCCCUCAAGGUCACCUUGGCUUUGCACAUCUAAGACAAUUGGCUUUUAAGAAGAAUUGACUUUUUCAUCCAGACGAUACUAAAAGUAAAUAUGAUUUGCGUGCCUUAUUAAAGGUAAAUGUAAAGUUACACAUCCAUUCUUCCAUCUUAAACCAUGAUUGUAUGAUUGAUGUAUUUUCAUCUUGUCACUGAAUGGAACGGCUUUUAUGCAACGUCAUCUAAUUCCACAUCUAUUAACACUUUUGAAAUGGUUUUUAACUUUACAAUUAAUGGGCUGAUUAUUGUCUUCAUUUACAAAUGUCAAAAGGUCAUGUACAGCUCACGUGUGCCUUUUUGUAAUUGUAUUUCCUGGACAUCCAGUUGCACAGGUGGUAGAACUUGUGCCUGAUAUAUGUACGGUACUUGAACUUACCAUGUCUCAAAUGCCACGUCUUAGCUUCCUCGCGAUGUCUCCAGGAACUUCUGAACUUCUGGCAUGGGUGGGAAAUUCCUCCAAAAGAGCUGCAUGGACAAAUGCCACAAUCCAGCACCUGCAUGGAGACUCUUGGGCUGCCAUCACACUGCAGCGCUUAGGAUGCUUUUUGUGAGGCUCUCAACUCAGCACUCACUUCUGGUCCAACAGGUUUUGGACUUGCUUAAAGUCUCAGGGUUUAGGGUUCGUUAAGACUUACAAAAAAAACGUUUAAAAAAAUGAGGAUUUUCAGUCCUCCUGUGAUUGUUGUUUUUCCAAAAAAUGUGUUAGUGCU